GACGAACGCUGGCGGCGUGCUUAAUACAUGCAAGUCGAACGGAAAGGCCCUGCUUUUGUGGGGUGCUCGAGUGGCGAACGGGUGAGUAACACGUGAGUAACCUGCCCCUGACUUUGGGAUAACUUCAGGAAACUGGGGCUAAUAUCGGAUAGGAGCUCUUGCUGCACGGUGGGGGUUGGAAAGAUUCGGCGGUACUGGAUGGACUCGCGGCUUAUCAGCUUGUUAGUGAGGUAGUGGCUUACCAAGGUUUUGACGGGUAGCCGGCCUGAGAGCGUGACCGGCCACAUUGGGACUGAGGUACGGCCCAGACUGCUACGGGAGGCAACAGUGGGGAAUAUUGCACAAUGGGCGGAAGCCUGAUGCGGCAACGCCGCGUGCGGGAUGACGGCCUUCGGGUUGUAAACCGCUUUCGCCUGUGACGAGGCGUGAGUGACGGUAAUGGGUAAAGAAGCACCGGCUAACUACGUG
rnacentral:rRNA from 1 species